rnacentral:lncRNA from 1 species
UGUGCCCACCAAGAUUCUUUGGCAACCAAGUGAUCCCUUUUACUCAGAACUGGAGGUGAUGCUGUGUCCUAAGAACAGCACCGACAGAUGGGCAUGUCCCACUGAAGUCCCUGCUUGAGUCUGUGUAUUGGGAGCAUUCCAGCAGGGUGGUAGCAGAGUCGGGAGGUGGCGGACCUGGAGACUGUGCUGUACACAUACCUCAUGGAGCCUGUGCUCCAUUAUGACCAGCGGCCCCAGCACAGAAAACAGGACAAGCCUCCUAUCUCUGCUCUUCGAGGCCAUGUCAGGUCCCUCUGGGGCUGAGAGAGUCAUCUGAUGUCUUAGAACCCAGGACUUGGGAGCCCCGUGGACAGCCACCUCCAGAUGCUUGAGUGUAGACCCCAGCAGCACGAAGAGGCUGCCAGUCUAGCCACUUGGUGAGACCAGGUCUU